rnacentral:tRNA from 1 species
GGGACACAGCUCAGUUGGUAGAAUGCUUGUCUUGCAUCUACCAACUAUACUAACCAGAGUCUCAAGGCCCUGGGUUCUAAUCCCAGGUACCA